rnacentral:rRNA from 1 species
UACGUAGGGUGCAAGCGUUAAUCGGAAUUACUGGGCGUAAAGCGUGCGCAGGCGGUUUUUAAGUCUGUCGUGAAAGCCCCGGGCUCAACCUGGGAAUUGCGAUGGAGACUGCAAGGCUUGAAUCUGGCAGAGGGGGGUAGAAUUCCACGUGUAGCAGUGAAAUGCGUAGAGAUGUGGAGGAACACCGAUGGCGAAGGCAGCCCCCUGGGUCAAGAUUGACGCUCAUGCACGAAAGCGUGGGGAGCAAACAGG